GACGAACGCUGGCGGCGUGCUUAACACAUGCAAGUCGAACGAAGUGGCGAACGGGUGAGUAACGCGUAAUCAACCUGCCCUUCCGAGGGGGACCACAGUUGGAAACGACUGCUAAUACCGCAUACUGAUGGUGGGGAUUGUGUCUGAUUAGCUAGUUGGGUGGGUAACGGCCCACAAAGGCGAUGAUCAGUCGCCGGUCUGAGGGGGUGAACGGCCACAUUGGGACUGAGACAAGGCCCAGACUCCUACGGGAGGCAGCAGUGGGGAAUCUUCCGCAAUGGACGAAAGUCUGACGGAGCAACGCCGCGUGAGUGAUGACGGCCUUCGGGUUGUAAAGCUCUGUUAAUCGGGACGCGGUACCGAAAUAGAAAGCCACGGCUAACUACGUGCCAGCAGCCGCGGUAAUAC
rnacentral:rRNA from 1 species